rnacentral:rRNA from 1 species
AUUGAACGCUGGCGGCAGGCUUAACACAUGCAAGUCGAGCGAGCGGCGGAGGGGGGAGGAAUGUAUGGGGACUGCCCGAAAGAGGGGGAUAACUAUUGGAAACGGUGGCUAAUACCGCGUACUAUAGUAUGACCCAUAUGGGAUUAGCUCGUAGGUGGGGUAAUGGCUCACCUAGGCGACGAUCCCCAGAUGGUCUGAGAGGAUGAGCAGCCACACUGGGACUGAGACACGGCCCAGACUCCUACGGAGGCAGCAGUGGGGAAUAUUGCACAAUGGGCGCAAGCCUGAUGCAGCCAUGCCGCGUGUAUGAAGAAGGCCCUAGGGUUGUAAAGUACUUUCAGUCGGGAGGCGUUACCGACAGAAGAAGCACCGGCUAACUCCGUGCCAGCCGCCGCGGUAAUAC